AUUGAACGCUGGCGGCAGGCCUAACACAUGCAAGUCGAACGAGUGGCGGACGGGUGAGUAAUGUCUGGGAAACUGCCUGAUGGAGGGGGAUAACUACUGGAAACGGUAGCUAAUACCGCAUACCAUCGGAUGUGCCCAGAUGGGAUUAUCUAGUAGGUGGGGUAACGGCUCACCUUGGCGACGAUCCCUAGCUGGUCUGAGAGGAUGACCAGCUACACUGGAACUGAGCCACGGUCCAGCCUCCUACGGGAGGAAUCAGUGGUGAAUAUGGCAAAAUGGGCGCAAGUCGGAUGCAGCCAUGCCGCGUGUAUGAAUAAGGCCUUCGGGUUGUAAAGUACUUUCAGCGGGGAGGCGUUACCCGCAGAAGAAGCACCGGCUAACUCCGUGCCAGCAGCCGCGGUAAUAC
rnacentral:rRNA from 1 species